AUUUUACUCUCUUCCUCUCAAAUUCUUUUUUUCUCCACUUUAUCACUAGGAACCCUCCUAUCUAUCUCAUCUACUUCUUGGUUUGGUGCUUGAAUCGGGCUAGAAUUAAACUUACUAUCUUUUAUUCCUCUUAUUUCCUCAAAAAACAAUCAAUACUCUUCUGAAGCUGCUUUAAAAUACUUUCUCAUUCAAGCCUUAGGUUCCUCAGUCAUUAUUAUAUCUGCCUCUUUUAUAAUAUCAUCAAAUAACCUAGCAACUCUUCUUCUUACCGUUGCCUUACUACUAAAAUCAGGAGCAGCGCCCUUCCAUUUUUGAUUUCCAAGUGUAAUAGAAGGUCUACAGUGGCCUCAAGUAAUUAUUCUUAUAACAAUCCAGAAAGUAGCCCCUUUAUCUUUAUUAUCAUAUCUUGUAUCCGAUCAUAUUUUACCAGUUAUUCCGGCAGCUAUUAUUAUGUCUGCUUUAGUAGGAGCUAUCGGAGGAGUUAACCAAACAUUUCUUCGUAAAAUUGUUGCCUAUUCUUCAAUUAACCACAUGGCUUGAAUAAUAUCAGCGAUUUUGAUUAGAGAAACUGAUUGGCUUCUAUACUUCUCUUUCUACUGCCUUAUCUCCUCAUCAGUAGCGAUUCUUCUAAGUUUCCAAGAAGCCUUUCAUAUCUCUCAUAUUGUUAAUCACUCAGCUUAUUCUCCAGAAAUAAAAAUAUUAACAUUUAUAUCUCUCCUCUCGCUUGGAGGUCUUCCACCUUUUACUGGAUUUAUUCCUAAAUGAAUUAUUAUCCAAGAAAUAGUAUCGAGCGGUAUAUUUAUUAUUUUAACCGUUCUAUUAGCUUCUGCUCUUUUAACGCUUUUUUAUUAUUUGCGAAUCACAAUAACAGCACUUUCAAUCUCCAGCCCCAAAACCAAAUGAAGUAUAAAAACCGCUAUUUCCUCCAAUAUCACUCCUUCAAUUUUAUACACUAACUUCUUUGGCCUCCUGGCCCCGAGUUUGUUCAUCUUAAUUCUUUA
rnacentral:misc_RNA from 1 species